CAGUCGCCACGGUAAUACGAAGGGGGCUAGCGUUGCUCGGAAUGACUGGGCGUAAAGGGCGCGUAGGCGGCGAUCAAAGUCAGGCGUGAAAUUCCCGGGCUCAACCUGGGGGCUGCGUUUGAUACUUGGUUGCUUGAGUGGGGAAGAGGGUCGUGGAAUUCCCAGUGUAGAGGUGAAAUUCGUAGAUAUUGGGAAGAACACCGGUGGCGAAGGCGGCGACCUGGUCCUUUACUGGCGCUGAGGCGCGAAAGCGUGGGGAGCAAACAGGAUUAGAUACCCGUGUAGUCCCUGUCUCUUAUAU
rnacentral:rRNA from 1 species